UUCAUUUUAGGACCAAGGGAUUGCUUAUGCAGUAUCUACUGCAAAAAGGUCAGGUCACAGCACUCUUACUUGGAUCUGCUACAGACUGAUGAUUGAAAAUUGUUGACUUACACAGAACCAGCCAGAAUCCCAGGUAAAAACCAUAAGGAACCAGAUCACAACUCAAGCAUAGACUGAUUCAGCACCCCCUGGAGACUUUG